rnacentral:rRNA from 1 species
CAGGGAGACAGGUGGUGCAUGGUUGUCGUCAGCUCGUGUCGUGAGAUGUUGGGUUAAGUCCCGCAACGAGCGCAACCCCUACGUUUAGUUGCUAACGCGUGAAGGCGAGCACUCUAGACGAACUGCCGUUGACAAAACGGAGGAAGGUGGGGAUGACGUCAAAUCAUCAUGCCCCUUAUGUUCUGGGCUACACACGUGCUACAAUGGCCGGUACAGACGGACGCAAAGCCGCGAGGUGGAGCAAAUCCUAAAAAGCCGGUCUCAGUUCGGAUUGCAGGCUGCAAUUCGCCUGCAUGAAGUCGGAAUCGCUAGUAAUCGCAGGUCAGCAUACUGCGGUGAAUACGUUCUCGGGGUUU